ACGACCGUACCGCAAACCGACACUGGUGCGCGGGAUGAGUAUUCUAAGGCGCUUGAGAGAACUCAGGAGAAGGAACUCGGCAAAUUGACACCGUAACUUCGGAAGAAGGUGUGCCCUAUUAGUGUGUAGUGAACAACGAAGCAUGAAUGGGUUGCAAAAAAUCGGUGGCUGCGACUGUUUAUUAAAAACACAGCACUCUGCAAACACGAAAGUGGACGUAUAGGGUGUGACGCCUGCCCGGUGCUGGAAGAUUAAAUGAUGGGGUGCAAGCUCUUGAUUGAAGUCCCAGUAAACGGCGGCCGUAACUAUAACGGUCCUAAGGUAGCGAAAUUCCUUGUCGGGUAAGUUCCGACCUGCACGAAUGGCGUAACGAUGGCCACACUGUCUCCUCCUGAGACUCAGCGAAGUUGAAAUGUUUGUGAUGAUGCAAUCUCCCCGCGGAAAGACGGAAAGACCCCAUGAACCUUUACUGUAGCUUUGUAUUGGACUUUGAACAGAUCUGUGUAGGAUAGGUGGGAGGCUUUGAAGCAGGGUCGCUAGAUCUUGUGGAGCCAACGUUGAAAUACCACCCUGGUGUGUUUGAGGUUCUAACCUAGGUCCAUUAUCUGUAUCGGGGACAGUGCAAGGUAGGCAGUUUGACUGGGGCGGUCUCCUCCCAAAGCGUAACGGAGGAGUUCGAAGGUACGCUAGUUACGGUCGGACAUCGUGACGAUAGUGCAAUGGCAUAAGCGUGCUUAACUGCGAGACUGACAAGUCGAGCAGAUGCGAAAGCAGGACAUAGUGAUCCGGUGGUUCUGUAUGGAAGGGCCAUCGCUCAACGGAUAAAAGGUACUCUGGAUAACAGGCUGAUACCGCCCAAGAGUUCAUAUCGACGGCGGUGUUUGACACCUCGAUGUCGGCUCAUCUCAUCCUGGGGCUGUAGCCGGUCCCAAGGGUAUGGCUGUUCGCCAUUUAAAGAGGUACGUGAGCUGGGUUUAAAACGUCGCGAGACAGUUUGGUCCCUAUCUUCCGUGGGCGCUGCAGAUUUGAGGAAGCCUGCUCCUAGUACGAGAGGACCGGAGUGGACACACCUCUGGUGUAUCGGUUGUCACGCCAGUGGCAUUGCCGAGUAGCUAAGUGUGGAAGAGAUAACCGCUGAAAGCAUCUAAGCGGGAAACUCGUUUCAAGAUGAGAUCUGCCGGGGCCUUGAGCCCCCUAAAGAGUCGUUCAAGACCAGGACGUUGAUAGGUCAGGUGUGGAAGUG
rnacentral:rRNA from 1 species